CCCUUAGAUGUUCUGGGCCGCACGCGCGCUACACUGACUGGUGCAACAAGUGUCUGACCUUGGCUCGAGAGGCCUGGGCAACCUUUGAACGCCAGUCGUGCUGGGGAUAGAUUCUUGCAAUUAUUAAUCUUCAACGAGGAAUUCCUAGUAAACGCAAGUCAUCAGCUUGCAUUGAUUACGUCCCUGCCCUUUGUACACACCGCCCGUCGCACCUACCGAUUGAAUGGUCCGGUGAAAUCUCCGGACUGGCGUGAGUCGGAGCAAUCUGACAAACACCGGAAAGUUGAUUAAACCUUACCAUUUAGAGGAAGGUGAAGUCGUAACA
rnacentral:rRNA from 1 species